AUGGCGUCCCAGCUGGUCGAGAACCACCGCGCCGGCGCCGAGGUCGUCAAGGGGGGCAAUGUCUGCAAGAAGAGGUCCGCUGAGCUACUCGAAGAGCUCGGCCUCCCGAAAGGCCCCUUUCCAAUGAGCGACAUCGAGGAGGUCGGAUACAACCGUGAGAACGGGUUCGUGUGGAUGCUUCAGAAGAAGAAUGAGCACACCUUCAAGAAGAUCAAGCAGACUGUCUCCUAUGCCACCGAGGUGACCGCUUUCAUUGAGAAGGGCAAGAUAAAGAAGGUCACUAGGGUCAAGGUCAAGGAGCUGUUUCUGUGGCUCAGUUUGGUCGAGGUCUAUGUCAAUGAGUCUUCUACUGAAAAGGUCACCUUCAAGGUGGGCACCGGUCUGUCCGACACCCAUGAUGCAUCAGCGUUCGCUCUCGGAGAAUAG
rnacentral:rRNA from 1 species